GACAGAGGAUGCAAGCGUUAUCCGGAAUGAUUGGGCGUAAAGCGUCUGUAGGUGGCUUUUUAAGUCCGCCGUCAAAUCCCAGGGCUCAACCCUGGACAGGCGGUGGAAACUACCAAGCUGGAGUACGGUAGGGGCAGAGGGAAUUUCCGGUGGAGCGGUGAAAUGCGUAGAUAUUGGAAAGACCACCGAUGGCGAAGGCACUCUACUGGGCCAUUACUGACACUGAGAGACGAAAGCUAGGGGAGCAAAUGGG
rnacentral:rRNA from 1 species